rnacentral:lncRNA from 1 species
CAGGUGCUCAUGAUGACGUACUAGCCCUAACCUGAGUACAGCUGAUGGAAGUGUAAGAAAAUAUACAUUCCUGAAAACUCGAAGUGGUUAUCAAAUCUUGGUUCUACAGCUGACAUAAUGAUCUGAAAGGUUGCAGAGAGUAAACACUCUUGUGAAUCAUCAUAAUAGAGCUCAGAUAUUUGAAUAGAGACUGGAAUUUUGAUUUGAAGACAAUUUAUAAAUAUUUUCUGAUUGUUAAUUUGGAAUUAACUCAAGAAGUAGAGACACUACUACAUGGAUAAUGAUUGAAUUGACAUUGGCAUCGUCUCAAUGUUUUCAUAAGUAU